GAUGAACGCUGGCGGCGUGCCUAAUACAUGCAAGUCGAGCGAACGGACGAGAAGCUUGCUUCUCUGAUGUUAGCGGCGGACGGGUGAGUAACACGUGGAUAACCUACCUAUAAGACUGGGAUAACUUCGGGAAACCGUAGCUAAUACCGGAUAAUAUUUUGAACCGCAUGGUUCAAAAGUGAAAGACGGUCUUGCUGUCACUUAUAGAUGGAUCCGCGCUGCAUUAGCUAGUUGGUAAGGUAACGGCUUACCAAGGCAACGAUGCAUAGCCGACCUGAGAGGGUGAUCGGCCACACUGGAACUGAGACACGGUCCAGACUCCUACGGGAGGCGGCAGUAGGGAAUCUUCCGCAAUGGGCGAAAGCCUGACGGAGCAACGCCGCGUGAGUGAUGAAGGUCUUCGGAUCGUAAAACUCUGUUAUUAGGGAAGAACAUAUGUGUAAGUAACUGUGCACAUCUUGACGGUACCUAAUCAGAAAGCCACGGCUAACUACGUGCCAGCAGCCGCGGUAAUACGUAGGUGGCAAGCGUUAUCCGGAAUUAUUGGGCGUAAAGCGCGCGUAGGCGGUUUUUUAAGUCUGAUGUGAAAGCCCACGGCUCAACCGUGGAGGGUCAUUGGAAACUGGAAAACUUGAGUGCAGAAGAGGAAAGUGGAAUUCCAUGUGUAGCGGUGAAAUGCGCAGAGAUAUGGAGGAACACCAGUGGCGAAGGCGACUUUCUGGUCUGUAACUGACGCUGAUGUGCGAAAGCGUGGGGAUCAAACAGGAUUAGAUACCCUGGUAGUCCACGCCGUAAACGAUGAGUGCUAAGUGUUAGGGGGUUUCCGCCCCUUAGUGCUGCAGCUAACGCAUUAAGCACUCCGCCUGGGGAGUACGACCGCAAGGUUGAAACUCAAAGGAAUUGACGGGGACCCGCACAAGCGGUGGAGCAUGUGGUUUAAUUCGAAGCAACGCGAAGAACCUUACCAAAUCUUGACAUCCUUUGACAACUCUAGAGAUAGAGCCUUCCCCUUCGGGGGACAAAGUGACAGGUGGUGCAUGGUUGUCGUCAGCUCGUGUCGUGAGAUGUUGGGUUAAGUCCCGCAACGAGCGCAACCCUUAAGCUUAGUUGCCAUCAUUAAGUUGGGCACUCUAAGUUGACUGCCGGUGACAAACCGGAGGAAGGUGGGGAUGACGUCAAAUCAUCAUGCCCCUUAUGAUUUGGGCUACACACGUGCUACAAUGGACAAUACAAAGGGCAGCGAAACCGCGAGGUCAAGCAAAUCCCAUAAAGUUGUUCUCAGUUCGGAUUGUAGUCUGCAACUCGACUACAUGAAGCUGGAAUCGCUAGUAAUCGUAGAUCAGCAUGCUACGGUGAAUACGUUCCCGGGUCU
rnacentral:rRNA from 1 species